rnacentral:tRNA from 2 species
GACAGUUUAGCAAAGUGGUUACUGCGAUUGAUUCGAAAUCAAUUCCUCUCUGAGGGCACAGGUUCGAAUCCUGUAACUGUCG